rnacentral:misc_RNA from 1 species
GAUGAAGAACGCAGCGAAAUGCGAAAAGUAAUGUGAAUUGCAGAAUUCAGUGAAUCAUCGAAUCUUUGAACGCACAUUGCGCCCGCCAGUAUUCUGGCGGGCAUGCCUGUCUGAGCGUCAUUUCAACCCUCAUGCCCCUAGGGCGUGGUGUUGGGGAUCGGCCAAAGCCCGCGAGGGACGGCCGGCCCCUAAAUCUAGUGGCGGACCCGUCGUGGCCUCCUCUGCGAAGUAGUGAUAUUCCGCAUCGGAGAGCGAUGAGCCCCUGCCGUUAAACCCCCAACUUUCCAAGGUUGACCUCAGAUCAGGUAGGAAUACCCGCUGAACUUAAGCAUAUCAAUAAGCGGAGGA